UACGUAGGGCGCAAGCGUUGUUCGGAAUUACUGGGCGUAAAGGGCGCGCAGGCGGCUAUCCAAGUCAGUGGUGAAAGCCCGGAGCUCAACUCCGGAACUGCCAUUGAAACUGUUUAGCUUGAGUAUGAGAGAGGUGAGUGGAAUUCCCAGUGUAGAGGUGAAAUUCGUAGAUAUUGGGAAGAACACCGGUGGCGAAGGCGGCUCACUGGCUCAUUACUGACGCUCAGGCGCGACAGCGUGGGGAUCAAACAGG
rnacentral:rRNA from 1 species